rnacentral:rRNA from 1 species
UACGAAGGGAGCUAGCGUUGUUCGGAAUCACUGGGCGUAAAGCGCACGUAGGCGGAUUUGUCAGUCAGGGGUGAAAUCCCGGGGCUCAACCUCGGAACUGCCUUUGAUACAGCAAGUCUUGAGUUCGAGAGAGGUGGGUGGAAUUCCUAGUGUAGAGGUGAAAUUCGUAGAUAUUAGGAAGAACACCGGUGGCGAAGGCGGCCCACUGGCUCGAUACUGACGCUCAUGCACGAAAGCGUGGGGAGCAAACAGG